AUGGUCGAAGGCUCGGAGACGGACAUCUCGAAUCUCAAGUUCCUCCUCCUCUGCUUCCAACAAAUGUCUGACCUCAAGAUUAAUUUUGAUAAGAGUGAUGUGAUGGUGAUGGGCUACUCUCCUGAGGAAUGUCUGAGCAUCGCCAACCGCCUCAACUGCCGCUUGGGCUCCUUCCCCACGACCUACUUGGGAACGCCCAUUAGCGAUUCUAGGCUCACUGUCGCGGACUUGCGGCCGGUUGUGGCCAAGCUACAUACGCGCAUUGAGCCCUGGCAGGGUAGGUGGCUUUCGAAGGCGGCCCGGACGAUCCUGAUCAACUCCUCCCUCUCCAGCCUCCUCUUGUUCCUCAUGAGCUUCUACAGCCUCCACGAGACUCUGCACCAUGAGAUCGCCAAAGUCCAGUCUCGUUUCUACUGGGCUGGCGACAACAAUAAGCAGAUAUACCAUAUGGUUAGCUAGCCUGGCAUUUGCAAGCCUCGGGACCAAGGAGGACUAGGUAUCAUGUGCUCGAAGCACAUGAAUAUUGCUCUCCUACCCCGAUGGCUUUGGCGCAUUUCGCAAGGGCAAGGCGGCCUCUGGUUAGAUAUAAUACGGGCCAAGUACCUGCGUGGACAACCCCUCGCUUUCUGUCAGUGUUCAGGCGGUUCCUAG
rnacentral:rRNA from 1 species